UAGUAACGGCGAGUGAAGCGGCAACAGCUCAAAUUUGAAAUCUGGCGUCUUCGGCGUCCGAGUUGUAAUUUGCAGAGGGCGCUUUGGCAUUGGCAGCGGUCCAAGUUCCUUGGAACAGGACGUCACAGAGGGUGAGAAUCCCGUACGUGGUCGCUAGCCUUUACCGUGUAAAGCCCCUUCGACGAGUCGAGUUGUUUGGGAAUGCAGCUCUAAAUGGGAGGUAAAUUUCUUCUAAAGCUAAAUACUGGCCAGAGACCGAUAGCGCACAAGUAGAGUGAUCGAAAGAUGAAAAGCACUUUGGAAAGAGAGUUAAAAAGCACGUGAAAUUGUUGAAAGGGAAGCGCUUGCAGCCAGACUUGCUUGUAGUUGCUCAUCCGGGUUUCUACCCGGUGCACUCUUCUAUAAGCAGGCCAGCAUCAGUUUGGGCGGUUGGAUAAAGGUCUCUGUCAUGUACCUCCUCUCGGGGAGAACUUAUAGGGGAGACGACAUGCAACCAGCCUGGACUGAGGUCCGCGCAUCUGCUAGGAUGCUGGCGUAAUGGCUGUAAGCGGCCCGUCUUGAAACACGGACCAAGGAGUCUAACAUCUAUGCGAGUGUUUGGGUGUCAAGCCCGAACGCGUAAUGAAAGUGAACGGAGGUGGGAACCUUUCGGGGUGCACCAUCGACCGAUCCUGAUGUCUUCGGAUGGAUUUGAGUAAGAGCAUAGCUGUUGGGACCCGAAAGAUGGUGAACUAUGCUUGAAUAGGGUGAAGC
rnacentral:rRNA from 1 species